rnacentral:lncRNA from 1 species
AAUGAUUAGAAAUGUAUCCCUCAUGAAAGGUUCUAUAACAAAUUCUGCUGUAAAGGCUACAGUUACACAACAGACUUUUAAAUUCUCUUGUGAAAGUUAUGUUAAAUAAUAGAAUUAGCUAAACAGAAAAGUACCUGUACAGCUGCUGGCAAUUUUGGCCUAUGGGGAAAUACAUCAAAUGAAGAUUAUAGAAAUUCAGUGGUAGGGGAUUGAUGAAGAAAUUGCUUAGUCAAAUGAGUGAACUACCUAGCUCAUUCUUUGAUCUAUUUAAUUUUAGGAGAUUUGGUUUAUGGGGACCCUGGAUAAGGAGCAUAUUCCAAACUCUUGGUAUUAUCCUCCCAAUAGUCAUAGUAAUAGUCUCCCUGCUGCACUGUAUUCUCUCAAAAAUUUUAAAUGCUUGCAUGCAGCCAUCUCUAGAAUGUCAUAUAGUCUGUCUCCAAUUUGAACGACAAGAGCUGAAAGAAAUGUGCAACCGUGAGGACACCGUAACCUAUGAAUGACAUGCUGAAAUCGGAAACCCAAAAUGAUGGUAACUGAGAGUGGCACUAAGGCCGUAAGUUUUGGUCACACUCUCAUGUAAGUAAGAACCUGACCAAAAAAAGGGGGAAUUAAAAAAAAAAUUCUGGGAGGCCAUUGUUUUGGAUUGAGCUCAUACACUAGGCCCCAACAAACCAAACCAAAAUAGAAUUGCUCAUGCUAAGACUUUAAGGAAGCACAGAGAUUCUAGAACAGUCCAGGUUUUGUUUUUUUCCUGCUGCACAUCUCUAUAACAAACAUUUCUGACAGCGUAGGUAUCCGCUCCCUGAAGUUGCCAUUAAAUCUUUUAACCAAAUUCAUUUCCUGUUGCCUAGAGACCAUCAAGCUUCAGAUGAUCAUGCAACAAAAGUUCCAGGUGAAGACACCACCCCUGGCCAUUUAAGGAGCUACCCUGCCACCAAUAGACAGAGUAGGGUGAGAGUUCUGUGAUCCUCAACAGGGACUAUGCCCCAAGCCAGCAUGAAGCAGUUACAGAAAAAAGACCAUCGGUCCCUCUGACUCUCAUAAAAUGUAUGGGGAUCACAUCUCUCAGUGGGGAGAUGAAGCAGGAAAAUAGGGUCUGGAGGCAGGGAACAUAAGGCCAAUUCACACUUUAGCUAUGACAGGAAUAUCCUCUCCAUUGGGAAUAGAGCCAAGUAAAUGACUUUGUAACUUUAUGUCAUCCUUUCCAUUUACAUAGGGCAUACCCCAAGUAAUCAGUGGAAUCCUCUAGGGGGUAUUUCAACUCCCAAAAAUUCUGUAACGGGACCUUUUAGCUCCCAAGCUCAGGCCUGCUCCCACACCAUGGAGUACUUUCAUUUUCAUUAAAACCCUUCUUUGUGUGUGUUGUCCAAUUCUUUGUUCAACACGCCAAGAAUCUGUACACCUUCCACCGUUAACACAUAUACUAAAAUUGGAAUGAUACAGAGAAGAUUAACAUGCUCCUUGCACAAGGAUAACAUGCAAAUUUGUGAAGUGUUUCAUUUAAAAAAAUCAUAAUUUUUUUUAAAAAGAAAAGAAAAUGAAGAAAAACUAAUAAAAAUAAAAACAAAAAUAAAAAUAUUCCUGGCUACACACAAAAGAUUUGGCUAUGAAAAUGUUCAUUGCAGCCCUAUAAUACACAUGUAUAGACACAAUUUUUAUUAUUAUAAUGAGAUAACUGUAAUAUAGCUUAGUAACCAAAGCUCCUUCUGAGUAGGGUGAUUAGGGUGAUUAGAGGAGAUUCUGUUUUUAUUCUCUCUCUCUUGUUUUUCUCCCUUGAUUUCUACUGUGGACAUGUGCUGUUACAAUAAAGGGAAUAAUCCAAAUAAAGCAUUUGCAGAAGGGAUAAAUUCUCACCCCAGAGGUAGUUUGUCACUGGUUGGCCAUGAGUGAUGAGGCAGCAAAGAUGCCAUAAAUAGAUGGGAAUAGGGAUCUCAAUAUAUUUCUUUGUGUCCUGAAGCAUUCUCUGCUAAGUGUUGCAUGAUUGGUACAGAUGGUAAGUGGUACAGGAGAUUAGAAUCUCUUUCGGGAUUGGCUCAGGGUUGGGGUGAGCCUUGUGCACCAGGAAAAAGAACGGCAUUUUUUCUUUCUUUUCUCUUUCUUUCUUUUCUUUCUUUCUUUCUUUCUUUCUUUCUUUCUUUCUUUCUUUCUUUCUUUCUUUCUUUCUUUCUUUCUUUCUUUUUCUUUCUUUCUUUCUCUCUC